rnacentral:lncRNA from 1 species
UUAUGGAAGUAAACAACUUUUUUUUUAUGCAUGCCAGUAUGUUCAUGAGAACCCACCUGUAUCUUCGAUGUAUAGUAAAUAAGAGCAUUGGGUAAAUUCAUGUUCAUUUGCAAUACGUUGCAAUCUACACAGAAUGGUGAAAAUACUUAACUAGAUAAUUAAUUGAUGAAGUACAUUAAUGGCAAAGGAAAAUGCUGAAUGCACAUAAUAUGUGCGCACAUAAUUGGAUAUUUUUGUCAUUUUAUAAAUCUCCAUAAAUUAUGGAGUUAAUACA